GGGGUUGGUCAGAGGGGCUGUCGACGUUCUGGGGCCGCGCCGCCGCCUCAGGACCAACAUGCGCCUGCGUGGUAGUUCUCGGGUCAGGACGCGUCUGGGGAUCAGCUCUGGAGGGCGAAGGGACUCUGAAGAGAAUGCGGAGAAGUUUAACGAUGAUUUGGGUUAAAUCGUGUCCGGCCUCUCACGCUCUCCAAUCCAGGCCGCAUCACAGCGAACCUGUUUUGAGCGGUAGGCCGCGGGCAGACUCGAUCGAGGUUCCAAAGAGAGUCACUUUAUCGCGAGGAAAUCCGUCUGCCACUCUGGUGGCCUGUUUGACACCUCCUCACUACUGUUCUUCCCCCCCUCCCCCUCCAGAGCACGACGUGAAGCCCCCCACAGUCGUCGUCCUCCAGCCGGCGAGCAAGGAGAUCGCGGAUCACCAGACAGCUACGCUGGUGUGCGUCAUCUCCGACUUCUACCCCGACAACAUCAAGAUACGGUGGUGGCUGAACGGUCAGGAGAUCCCGGCCAAAGACGCCAGGAUCUAUACCGACCCCGAGGCGCUCCGCACCAAUGGCAACAAGACGUUCAGCGUCAGCAGCCGCCUACGCCUGGACGCCCGGGACUGGGUGAAAUCCAGGUCGGCCAUGUGCCAAGUGGAUCACUACCAGAAGGGGGAUAAGCCGACGCCUUACAACCACACGAUUCAAGUCAAAGAGGUUCUGUGUGGAAUCAGUAAAGAUACUCAAUCCACCCCGUCUGGCACCGGCCCUCAAUCCUCCCCGCUCUGAUGUUACCUGACCUCCUGACCGCGCCUGCGUGUUUGUGACGCACAGUGAGUUGCUGCCACGUGAUUGGCUGAUCGGACAGUUGCCUGAAUGUGCCGGUGCGCAGGUGCUGCUCAUGAAGUGUCCACUGAGUGUAUUUGAAGGGGCCGCCGCUGCUUCCGUGGGGCGGGGAAUACCCCAGAUUGACUCUUUCCUCCCUUUCCCUCUCCGUGCAGAGGAGAGAUACAGAGCAUUGGGAGCGGGCGGAUGACGUACCUCAUCCUGAUCUGCAAAAGUGUCCUGUACGGCAUCAUCGCUUCGGCGAUCGUUUUGAAGACCAAGAAGUCAUACUCCAAGAGGUUCGACUGAAACCACGCUUGGCAUCGGAGCGAGUGAGAGAGAGAAAGAGAGAGAGAGAGAGAGAGAGAGAGAGAGAGAGAAAGCUUCGUCGAAACAGAGAUUAACCUUGAUGCUUCGUUGUGUCAUUUUCCACGCCAGCCUCUACUGUAAACGUCUGUCUUAUAUUUGUAAGCUCAAAACGUCCCGGCCCCCACCGGAGGGCCGAGUGACUGUAUAGUCCCGCAUCGCUGAAUCAGGCCAUUUGGCCCGACAGAUCCCUGCCGCCCACGGUCGUCCCAUUGGGAAACAUUGUCUUCAUCUCGGCUGGCCCCCACAGGGAGAGGUUGAACAGGUCGGGACCACUGAGGGAGGUGGGGGGAGAGACAUCUCACAGGGGGUACCCAAAGUUACGAGUGUGAAUAGACGGGGGGUGGACGGGUCGCGUACGGGAUGCGGGAGGAAGUCCAGCCGGUCGGGCAGCGUCCGCAGAGGGGAAUUAACAGGCAGGCUCUUGGGACGGGGACCUUCGUGCUGUCAGGACUGGGGAGGGAAGGGGCAGAGGCCAACCAGGUGAGGGGGGAAGGUAGGUGGGUGGGGGGGGGGUGACUGCGGACGAUGGAAGAAGCCGGGAGGAGAUAGGUGGAAGAGGUAAAUGGUUGAAGAGGAAGGAAGACGGUCGGAGGGGUGGUGUGAAGACAGUAGACCGUGACAAAGGGGGAGGGGCACCAGAGAGAGGUAACAGGCAACUCAGCUGGGCUGAGCUGAGAACUCGGGGUUCAUGGGUUAAGGGUGAAAGGUGAACCUCUUUGCCCGGAGAGUUGCCCCAGCGCGGAGCGAGCUGCCAGCGGAAGUGGCGGGUCUGGGUUCGAAUUCAACCCUUAUGGGGAGCUUGGGCGGAGAGAUAGAUGGGAGGGGUGUAGGGUGGGGGUGGGGGAAUGGGCGUAGAUGGGGCUAGCCUGCCUGGUCGGCGUGGACCGUGCUGCAGUACCGUCCGAAUUUAUUUGCCCCCGUUUGGCCCGCACCUAUCGAAAUGUCUUCUCGGUGUUGCCGUUGGCCCUGCCCCUGCCACCUCUUCGCCCCAUAUCCCAGCCGCCGUCUCUGCGGGGAGACAAAACUGCCCCUGUGAAUAUUUACCCUCUCGCUUAACGCGAGCUUUAGACCCCUCCAGGUUCCGGGGGCUGGAGGGGGUGGUAGGGAAGACAGCGACAUGAUCGAAAUCACGUGCAGUUUCUCACUUCCCACGAUCUUGCGGUGCUUCUUUUCCGGUUCUCAUCUGCUCGAUAAAUAAAACGGAAUUUUCUUACG